rnacentral:rRNA from 1 species
AACGAACGCUGGCGGCAGGCUUAACACAUGCAAGUCGAACGCACCGCAAGGUGAGUGGCAGACGGGUAAGUAACACGUGGGGAUCUGCCCAAUGGUACGGAAUAGCUCCGGGAAACUGGAAUUAAUACCGUAUGAGCCCGCAAGGGGAAAGAUUUAUCGCCAUUGGAUGAACCCGCGUCGGAUUAGAUAGUUGGUGUGGUAAAGGCGCACCAAGGCGACGAUCCGUAGCCGGUCUGAGAGGAUGAUCAGCCACCCUGGGACUGAGACACGGCCCAGACUCCUACGGGAGGCAGCAGUGGGGAAUAUUGGACAAUGGGCGCAAGCCUGAUCCAGCCAUGCCGCGUGAGUGAUGAAGGCCUUAGGGUUGUAAAGCUCUUUCGCCGACGAAGAUAAUGACGGUAGUCGGAGAAGAAGCCCCGGCUAACUUCGUGCCAGCCGCCGCAGUAACAC